GUCCGUUUCUCGCGAGCGUCUGUGCGCGUUUGGGCCCGGUACUCGGCGCCACCCCAUUCGCUCUACGGAAGGUUCGCCGACGGGUGUGAGGUUCGCGAGCGGACUUUCCACUCUCUCCCUUCUCCGUGUCGCGAAGAAGGAAAAAUAAAUAAACAAGUGCGGACGUCUGUACCGACUCACGGGUGUUCAAUCGCCUGCGAAUUAUUGUUUUUUUUUUUUUUCUUUCGAAGGGCGGGCCGGUCCCAGCCCGCACUCUAUCCGACAACUCUGGUCUAUCUUCGUUCGGUGGACUUGAAGAAUAUUUACUACCUGCCUUAUACUUCUUGCGGUCGCAAAUAAAGCUCGCUCGCGGCGGCCGGAUGAGCGAGGGCGGCGCGGCGGCGCGCGCCUGAUCCCGCCGCGUGUCUCGCCGGGCGACACGGGGCCGCCCCGGACCGGGCAUGCCGCUGAGCGGCGGCCGG